rnacentral:rRNA from 1 species
GGGCCCGCACAAGCGGUGGAGCAUGUGGUUUAAUUCGAUGCAACGCGAAGAACCUUACCUAGGCUCGAAUGCGAGUGCUACCUGCUGAAAAGCGGGGUUUCUUCGGAACACAAAGCAAGGUGCUGCAUGGUUGUCGUCAGCUCGUGCCGUGAGGUGUUGGGUUAAGUCCCGCAACGAGCGCAACCCUUAUUGCUAGUUGCCAGCAUUUAGUUGGGGACUCUAGCAAGACUGCCGGCGCAAGCCGUGAGGAAGGUGGGGAUGACGUCAAAUCAUCAUGGCCUUUAUGCCUAGGGCUACACACGUGCUACAAUGGACGAGACAAAGGGUCGCUAACCCGCAAGGGGGUGCUAAUCUCAUAAACUCGUUCCCAGUUCGGAUCGGAGUCUGAAACUCGACUCCGUGAAGGUGGAAUCGCUAGUAA